UCAUACAUGACAUCACCAUAGAAAAAAAAAAAGCUUUCUCAUGGCAUCAAAAGCCAAUGAACUGUAUUUGUUGCCUUAUUCCUCCUUCAUACUUAUUGACACAACACAUGAAUGAGAAGCCAACAGCUACAACAAGUUCACAAGAAGACAUCGACAUGAGAACAAAGGGGGAGCAAUUAUCAGAGCUGGAUUACAUAUUGCUAGACUUACUUUUAGAGAGAAGAAAAGAGCAACCUCCACCCUUUUUUUUCUAACCCUGACCUAUAAAAAUACCACACUUUUGACAGACACCAGAGGAUGCUCGAAAGUUCAAUCUAAUGUUCUGAUUUCAACUCCUAAUAUAUCUUGACCAUCACAA
rnacentral:lncRNA from 1 species